rnacentral:rRNA from 1 species
CCUACGGGUGGCUGCAGUGAGGAAUAUUGGUCAAUGGACGCAAGUCUGAACCAGCCAUGCCGCGUGCAGGAUGACGGCUCUAUGAGUUGUAAACUGCUUUUGUACGAGGGUAAACCCCGAUACGUGUAUCGGGUUGAAAGUAUCGUACGAAUAAGGAUCGGCUAACUCCGUGCCAGCAGCCGCGGUAAUACGGAGGAUCCGAGCGUUAUCCGGAUUUAUUGGGUUUAAAGGGUGCGUAGGCGGUCAGGUAAGUUAGAGGUGAAAGCUCGAUGCUCAACAUCGAAACUGCCUCUGAUACUGUCUGACUAGAGUGUAGUUGCGGAAGGCGGAAUGUGUGGUGUAGCGGUGAAAUGCUUAGAUAUCACACAGAACACCGAUUGCGAAGGCAGCUUUCCAAGCUAUUACUGACGCUGAGGCACGAAAGCGUGGGGAGCGAACAGGAUUAGAUACCCUAGUAGUC